AGAACGAACGCUGGCGGCAUGCCUAACACAUGCAAGUCGAACGAGACCCCAACUUCGGUUGGACGUCUAGUGGCGCACGGGUGCGUAACGCGUGGGAAUCUGCCCUUCGGUUCGGAAUAACUCGGAGAAAUCCGUGCUAAUACCGGAUAAUGACGUAAGUCCAAAGAUUUAUCGCCGAGGGAUGAGCCCGCGUAGGAUUAGCUUGUUGGUGAGGUAAAGGCUCACCAAGGCGACGAUCCUUAGCUGGUCUGAGAGGAUGAUCAGCCACACUGGGACUGAGACACGGCCCAGACUCCUACGGGAGGCAGCAGUGGGGAAUAUUGGACAAUGGGCGAAAGCCUGAUCCAGCAAUGCCGCGUGAGUGAUGAAGCUUAGGUUGUAAAGCUCUUUACCGGGAUGAUAAUGACAGUACCGGAGAAUAAGCUCCGGCUAACGUCCGCGCCAGCAGCCGC
rnacentral:rRNA from 1 species